rnacentral:rRNA from 1 species
GACCCCGUGGAGGACCGAACCGACCUAGGUUGAAAACUGGGCGGAUGACCUGUGGAUCGGAGUGAAAGGCUAAUCAAACUCAGAGAUAUCUGGUUCUCCCCGAAAUAUAUUUAGGUAUAGCCUCAGACGUUCAAUAACGGUUGUAGAGCACUGUUUGGCCUAGGGGGCCUACCAGCUUACCGAAGUCAGGCAAACUCCGAAUGCCGUUAUUCCAGAGCGUGGCAGUCAGACUGCGGGGGAUAAGCUUCGUGGUCGAAAGGGAAACAGCCCGGACCGUCGGCUAAGGCCCCUAAUUCCAUGCUAAGUGGGAAACGAUGUCCGAUUGCACAGACAACCAGGAUGUUGGCUUAGAAGCAGCCACCAUUCAAAGAGUGCGUAACAGCUCACUGGUCAAGUGGUCGGGCGCGGACAAUGUAACGGGGCUCAAGCAUGGAGCCGAAGCCACGGACUUCUAGCUUGCUAGGAGUGGUAGGGGAGCGUUCCCAGUGCGGAGAAGCGGCGGCGGCAAGCCAGCCGUGGAGCGCUGGGAAGUGAGAAUGCUGGCAUGAGUAACGAAAGGCGAGUGAGAAACUCGCCCGCCGAAUGCCCAAGGGUUCCUGAGUAAAGCUAAUCUGCUCAGGGUUAGUCGGGACCUAAGCCGAGGCCGACAGGCGUAGGCGAUGGACAACAGGUUGAUAUUCCUGUACCACGUCCCCACCGCUAUCACCAAUGGCGGGACGGGGUAGGUGAAGCCAACCCAGGCGAUGGUCGACCUGGGGUAACCGCGUAGGGCGACCGAUAGGGAAAUCCGUCGGUCACAUAGCCUGAGACGGGAUGCCGAGAGCGCUCAGCUCGAAGUGGUUGCAACCAUGCCUCCUAGAAAAGCGUCUAGGGAGGUGGGACGUGCCCGUACCAAAACCGACACAGGUGGGCAGGUAGAGAAUACCAAGGCGAUCGGAAGAACCCUCGUUAAGGAACUCGGCAAAAUGGUCCCGUAACUUCGGGAGAAGGGACGCCCCGGUAGAGUAAAGCCCUUUACGGGCUCAGCUCGAGGGGGCCGCAGUGAAACGACCCAAGCGACUGUUUACCAAAAACACAGGUCUCUGCGAAGUCGAAAGACGACGUAUAGGGGCUGACGCCUGCCCGGUGCCGGAAGGUCACGAGGAGAGGUUAGCCUUCGGGCGAAGCUUCGAAUCCAAGCCCCGGUAAACGGCGGCGGUAACUAUAACCGUCCUAAGGUAGCGAAAUUCCUUGUCGGGUAAGUUCCGACCUGCACGAAUGGCGUAACGACUUGGGCGCUGUCUCUUCGAGGGAUCCGGUGAAACUGUAGUCUCGGUGAAGAUGCCGAGUACCCGUGGUUGGACGGAAAGACCCCGUGAACCUUUACUACAGCUAGAUGUUGGAGUUCGGUGCACGUUGUCCAGGAUAGGUGGGAGGCUUUGAAGCCGGCACGCCAGUGUCGGUGGAGCCAACCUUGGGAUACCACCCUUCGUGUUCUGGGCUUCUAACCCGCUGCCGUAAUCCG